AAGCACUGUCUUUGAACCUGAUGUGUCUCUCACAGCCUCUCAGGCCAGGCAACGGUGCUAGAUUGUAAAGGCUUGUUAUAACUGGGGCUCUUCAGCUCUGCAAUGAAAUGCUCUUUUAAAAACAAGGCACAUUU